UGGCGGCGGUCGACAUGUACAUAUCACCAGUCUGGCUUUUCCCGUUUCCGCGAGCAAGCGGCGGGUGGUUGUUGUUAUGGGAUACCGGAGCCA
ensembl:miRNA mir-264 ncRNA